GAAUAAUUUGCUGGGCUCACCGACCUUCAUGGAGCUUGAAAAUGGAAGGUUCAAGUGCGUAGAGACGGGCCACGAGAUGCUAGCCAAAGACAAAGAAUCGUAUUCUCAGAGCAAACGGUGUCGUUUGGUUCUCAUCGACUUUGCUUUGGCUCUUGGCUCACAAUAAGCCCCCUCUCAAUAUGUUCAAGCAAGAUCCUCUGUCCCGUUCAAAAUUGAUAUGUAAGCUCACAGGGGAUAAUGUGAAUAAGUCUGAGGAACAUAUCUGGAAGCACAUCAAUGGCAAACAGUUCCUUAAUAAAUUAGAGCAAAAGGAAAUGGGGAAAGUUGAGGAAAAGCAACAGGAAGAAUCAAAGUCUAGCACGGAUGGUCAGAAGAAAAAGAAGAAGAAAAAGAAGGAAAACGAGAGAAAGCAGGUUGAGGAAAUCAUUUCUGAAGUAAGGAAUUCUUCUGAUAAGGACAGUGAUUCUGAAGAAGACGACUUCUGGAUGCCACCUGUGGGAGAUCGUUGGGACUUUGAUGAUGGAGGAUAUCGAUGGGGUUCUGGUGGGGAGUCAGGGCAGGAAAGUGAGGAAGAAAAUCAAGCAGAUGGUAAAGUUGAAGAAAAUGGCAGGGAGUCAGAAGAGCUUUCUAGGCGGACAAAAAGAAUGUCAAUUGAAAUUG
rnacentral:misc_RNA from 1 species